ACAAGGAGACUUGAAGCAUUAUGAAGAAAUACCAGGAGUAUCAGAUCAAAAUAUAUAUAAAAACAAUGAUACAUCUAAAUCAAAAGAUUCCAGUGAAGAAACACCAGUGAAGCAUGUCUAAUUAAUCAGCUGUUGAAGUAACAAUGACCUUUUUCUAUGUGAAUAGAAGAACAGUCAUAUUAGUACACACACACAGACUUAACACACUCCUUAUUUAUUAUCUGUGCUAUAUAGUAGUGUAAAGACAGGGUGUUGAUAAAUUAGCCAUGAUUCUGAUAAAUAAACAUGAAGUUCUGCAAAC